CAAGAUCUUGUAUCUCUUCAUUGAACUUUAUGAUCAAGUUAUUUACAUCUGCUAGCUAUAUGUAUAUUCUUUUACCAAAUACAUCACAUUCUAGUUUCGUAGACGUACUUCAUAGUUCAUUCUUACACUUCACUCCUAAGCUUUGAAAAGCUUAUUAUACUAAGUAAUUACACUUGUAAAAUUUAUCUGCAUUAUCACCAAAUAGAAUAAAUACUAUUAAGUAUAUAGUAGAUAUCAUCUCCACAGGAAUCAUAGUAAUUUCUUUUUAUUAGUUUUAGCUCAAGUAUGCCAAAAUUUAUCCCUAUGUCCACGUUGCACCCUUCACCCACUCUCCAAACAAAGAUCCAUUGUUAUCCUAUAAUGACCUCAAUCCAAAGCUCAAGACACUAGUAACCCUAGUUAGUGGAGAAAGUCGUGCAAGAUUGAGGAAGUUGAGGGGAACCAGGCAAUCCGGUUAGCCCCCCGUUAGGAGCACUGAUGUUGCUGCUGCUUCCAUCAUUGCUCUUCUGUGUACCAAUAACUGAGGAGAUGGCUGCCGCCAAGGCUGCAGUGAAAUUUGGGUCAGAAGCAAUGGCAGCGGUCACCGUCUCAACCAUUGAAGCGUGCCGUUGCCCUAAUUGCACCGAUGGAAUUGCAGCUGCCGGGAGCUUAGAAGGGACAUACAUAGGGUGGCCUAGCAGUUGUGGUUGUGGACAGCCAUGCAAAGGAAGAGGAAAUGUGGUUGAUAGAGGGGAGCGAAAAACAGGUAUGGGAUUGGGACUCUGCGUCAAGUCGAGGGUUAUGGUGGGAAAUGGUGCAGACGCAGAUAGGGUAGCCAUUGUGGACGCAUAGGGUAAAGAAGGGAAAAAGCUAUUAUUCGACGGUAGGCCUUCUUUGGAUGUAAUGGAGCCUGAAAGAAGCAUCGCUGCUGCAGCAGAUGUAGUAUUAGCCAUAGCCGUGGCUGCUGGUGGAAGAGGGUGGUUGUGAUUUCCUUCAUAUGUUGUAGUUAGAAUGGUCUUGUCCUCUGCGCAUCUUUGCACCUGCUUACGAACUGGGCAUCCAACAGCCAUGGUGCAACGAUAGUAUGCACGCGGACAAGGAUUGCCCUUGGCCAUCUUUUGACCAUAUUUCCUCCACUGGCAUCCAUCAGUGAUAAGGGGAGCCUCAGAUCUUGCUCGCACAGACACUCUAGCCUUCCUGAAAGGGACUUCAGGGACUUGCUCCUCGUUCUUUCCUGGUUCCAACCUCGGACUCUUGGGAGAUCCCCAACUCUGAGAAGUCUGAUCAAGACCAUCGUCUGUCGAAGCUUGUUUCCCAGGAUUUAUUUGAGACAAAGCCUCAGUCGUAUUUGUUGGAGAUACUGACACGUCCUGUGCCUUAUCAUCAGAUACCGAAGGAUCGUUGACAUCUAAUGCGGCAAAUGGGCGUGGGUCCAUAAACUGUUGGGCUGACAUUAUGGGACUUGCGAUGCCAUUCAGCUUUCCCUUCUGCUCUCCCCGAUUCCCUUUUGCCUGUUUUUGCAUUGCCAUGAGUAGCUGAGCUUGCAGCUCUUUGUAGCUUUUACUAAUCUGAUCCAAGAUGCUUCUUAGAUUCUUGUUCUCAUCGUGCAGUCUGUCCAACUCGGCUUGCAGUUUCUUCAGUUCGUUAUUGGGUAAUUUAUUUCCGUUUUCUUUUUCUGAGACUCCAGAGCUCGAAGUCAGGAGAUUCAGUCCAGUGUUUACCACGGAAUCAACAAUAGCUGAUGAUGAUUCACCCUUCAUCUCUUGAUCAAGCGGCAAAUUAUCAGUCCUAUCAUUUGAGAAGAAAUCCACUUCUUUGAUGGUGGACUUGCCCCGAUCGAUGGAAUUGUCUGUUAAGUGAUCAGAUAAAGCUGCAGGGUUCUGCCGGAGAAAAUCUCCGGAGCGGAAGAAUGUCAAUUCCCGGCCUUGUUGGUCCAUGAGUAGAAGGAGAGGAGGAAGUGGUUGUAGAUUUUUUUCAACGGAGGUAUUUAGAAGAGUUGCUUGUGAUGGGGGUCCAAAAAUAAUAACAAAGGACCAGAGAGAAGAGUAGCCGUUAUUUUCGCGGG
rnacentral:misc_RNA from 1 species